rnacentral:rRNA from 1 species
UACGGAGGGAGCUAGCGUUGUUCAGAAUUACUGGGCGUAAAGCGUGUGUAGGCUGCGCGGAAAGUCAAAUGUGAAAGCCCAGGGCUUAACCCUGGAACUGCAUUCGAUACUCCCGUGCUUGAGUAAUGGAGAGGUAAGUGGAAUUCCCGGUGUAGCAGUGAAAUGCGUAGAUAUCGGGAGGAACAUCAAUGGCGAAGGCAACUUACUGGACAUUUACUGACGCUCAGACACGAAGGCCAGGGGAGCGAAAGGG